CAACUUUCAGCAACGGAUGUCUUGGCUCUCGCAUCGAUGAAGAACGCAGCGAAAUGCGAUACGUAAUGUGAAUUGCAGAACUCAGUGAAUCAUCGAAUUUUUGAACGCACCUUGCGCUCUGUGGUUAUUCCGCAGAGCAUGCUUGUUUGAGUGUCGCGA
rnacentral:rRNA from 1 species